rnacentral:rRNA from 1 species
UACGAAGGGGGCUAGCGUUGCUCGGAAUCACUGGGCGUAAAGGGUGCGUAGGCGGGUUCUUAAGUCAGAGGUGAAAUCCUGGAGCUCAACUCCAGAACUGCCUUUGAUACUGAGAGUCUUGAGUUCGGGAGAGGUGAGUGGAACUGCGAGUGUAGAGGUGAAAUUCGUAGAUAUUCGCAAGAACACCAGUGGCGAAGGCGGCUCACUGGCCCGAUACUGACGCUGGGGCACGAAAGCGUGGGGAGCAAACAGGGA